UACGUAGGGUGCAAGCGUUAAUCGGAAUUACUGGGCGUAAAGCGUGCGUAGGCGGCGCCGCAAGUCGAGUGUGAAAUCCCCGAGCUUAACUUGGGAAUUGCGCUCGAAACUACGGUGCUGGAGUGUGGCAGAGGGAGGUGGAAUUCCACGUGUAGCGGUGAAAUGCGUAGAGAUGUGGAGGAACACCGAUGGCGAAGGCAGCCUCCUGGGCCAACACUGACGCUCAUGCACGAAAGCGUGGGGAGCAAACAGG
rnacentral:rRNA from 1 species